CAGCGCGCUUUUUAUAAGUGCAGGGCUUGCGGUAGGCUGCAGAUUAAACUAAAAACACUCAGUACUCUACCUUUGACAUUUUUAUUUCUAUAAUUAACAAACCGUAGCGUUUUACAAGCAAAUUCUCUGCAAAAAAAAAAAAAAAAAAAAAACCACCGCUUUUUUCCAUGAUGUCUCUCUUGGAGUUGUUCCUUAUGAUUAUUACAAGGCUGAGAAGAUGAGAUGCUUUCAUCAUCAUCAUCAUCAUCAUCAUCAUCACUGCUAAAAUCAUUGAUUCACUGGUGUUUGUGUGUCUAAAAUUCAAAUGAUUAAGCAAACAUAAGGAAUUGUACUCUGGAUUGAACAGGUUAAUAGAAGCACUGGUGAGGGAAAUUAGUCUUGUUUUAAGAGUAGCUUGUCUGGAAAAUGGGAAGCUCUGUGAUGGAGCAAAAAAAGACGGAUGGCAGGAAGAAAUGGACAAGAAAAAGGACAACUCUGCAGUUAAACAUGCCGGACCUGAGCUCGUUUGCCAUGCCCUUCCAGGAAGGAGAUGAUGAGCACAAUGACAAGAAUGGUACACGCAAGGGGGAGAUCAGCUGCCACUCAGCUAGCCCAACUAAAGGAUUUUUCAGCAGGAGUCCAUUUAGCCGGCCCUCUAGCCCCAUGUCGGCUCCAGCGAGGUCCAAAACCAGUCCGGGGUCACCAAGAACCAUCUUCCCUUACCCCCUACAUCAGGAUUCCCCACCUAAAUCACCCCGCCGCCUCAGCUUUUCUGGAAUCUUUCGCUCAUCCUCCAAGGACUCCUCUUGUGCCUCCCUGUCCACUUCCUCUUCUGCCUCUCCUGUCAGUAUUAAACUCUUCUCCCGUGCCAGGAAAGCGUCUGGGAUCUCCUCACUGCCCACCACUCCUACACAACUGACCAAACCCUCACCAUCAUUUCCUCUGGAAGAAAACCCCAACCUCCCGAUGCGUCAAGAGGAACGUUUGCGCUCUCUGUCCUCUCCCCCAGACACGGGCCAGCACUUCAGCGUGCCCUCGGCCAAGCCACCUCUCACCGCUUCCUCGGCACCCAUCGCUACCUCACGCCUGGUCCGCGGUUUGUCUGAAGGCAUGCUGGAAAAACUCGACCUCGAAGAUGAAGUUGUCGAAGAGCUUGAAAGUGAUAUUUACAUGCGCUUUAUGAAGUCCCACAAGUGCUACGACAUUGUCCCCACUAGUUCCAAGCUGGUGGUGUUUGACACAACGCUACAGGUAAAGAAGGCCUUUUUUGCCCUGGUGGCUAAUGGAGUCCGAGCUGCACCACUGUGGGAGACGAAGAAGCAGAGUUUUGUAGGAAUGCUAACAAUCACAGACUUCAUCAAUAUUCUUCACAGAUACUACAAGUCCCCCAUGGUGCAGAUCUACGAGCUGGAGGAGCACAAGAUUGAAACUUGGAGAGAGCUCUACUUACAAGAAACCUUUAAACCUUUAGUCAACAUAUCACCGGACGCAAGCAUUUUCGACGCCGUGUAUUCGCUAAUCAAGAACAAGAUUCACCGCUUGCCCGUUAUCGACCCCGUCAGUGGGAAUGCACUUUAUAUCCUCACACACAAGAGGAUCCUCAAGUUCCUGCAGCUCUUCGUGUGUGAGAUGCCAAAGCCUGCCUUCAUGAAGAAGACCCUGGAAGAGCUGAGCAUUGGGACGUACAGCAACAUCGCCUUCAUUCACCCCGACACGCCGAUAAUCAAAGCCCUGUGCAUCUUCGUGGAGAGGAGGGUUUCAGCUCUGCCCGUGGUAGACGAGUCCGGAAAGGUUGUAGAUAUUUAUUCCAAGUUUGAUGUCAUUAAUCUUGCUGCUGAAAAGACCUACAAUAACCUGGACAUUAGCGUGACUCAGGCUUUGAUGCAUCGCUCCCAGUACUUCGAGGGUGUCAUGAAGUGCAACAGACUGGAGACUCUGGAGACUAUAAUGGACAGGAUAGUCAAAGCUGAGGUGCACAGGCUGGUGGUGGUAGACGAGGCCGGCUGCAUCGUGGGUAUUGUGUCCCUGUCGGACAUCCUGCAGGCCCUGGUCCUCACUCCAGCAGGUAUAGACGCUCUGCACUGCUAAAGCUCCUCUCUGUUCCCGGACACCUCUCUCUUCCCACCCCAACACACAAACACACACAGGUAUCGCCGUCAUGCCACCCUGGCCUUGUCAAGCACAGGACUGCUGCGCUGCUGUCACUGCAACCUGCUGCUCUGUUCGUGUGAGAGCAUGAGGUCUGACCAGGAAGGAGAGUGAGGAAGCUGAGUGAUGCACAUCAGAACUGCUAAAUUGUGUCAUGCUGCUGGAAGAGGAAGCGGGAAGUAGAUCUGAAGGUGGCGUUUGGGAUGACUUUGCAGCCCACUGAGGGCUUGCAAAAGGAGGAAAAGGGUACAUGGGUGCGAAGUGAAUGCUGCUGUAGGCCAGAUGAGGGAAUGGAUAGAUGGGGGAAUGGAUAAAUGGGCUACAGGGGCGACAAGGUGGACCACCAAGGAUCUCUUCCUCACAGGGAUUCUGCAGAGCUCAGUGUCUAAAGCUGUUACUGCACGCUCACUAUCACUGCAUAUGAAAUAUCGCCAUCUGGUGUCCGUUCCGUUGUGUGUACUAAACUCACUGUUGUACUUUUGGACUGUACCAUUAUCAUCCUGAGGGGAUUCCUUCUAGUGACAAGCAAUUUAGAACUGGUUUUAUUCACAGCAUUUUUUUUUUUUAAAUUUCCAUGUUCUUUUGUUUAUAGCACAGCUUUGGCUUGUGGGUUUACUUGCACAUUUGAAACUGUCCUUUUGGUCAGUACCAUUUAGCCACCCUUUAUUAUUAUUAUUAUUAUUAUUAUUAUUAUUAUUAUUAUUGGUCUCCCCUCUUUCUUUAAAUGGUGCCUUCUGUCCACCAGUUGUCGCCCAUUAUGAUGGCCAAGAGAAAGCGAGAAUGUUCAAAUGAAACAAAAUGAAUGUCAGAGUCUGAAAACCAAAAUGUUUGGAAGACGUUGUCAGUGAUUUUAAUGGGUUUAAGUUGAUAUAUAUUAAAAUUGUUGUUUUUAUUUUAUUUUUUUUCUUCCUUUUGAAAAGUUUUAUUUCAAUAAGAUGUUUUUGGAAUGAUGCUGUAAACAUAGAUUCAACAUUUUAUUUAUUUGUACUUUAAUAUUUGUUUUUAAAAGUAAAUUUAAUGUCGAGGGAAGGAAAGAUGCGUUCAGCCCCUAUGCAUUAAAAUGACGUUCUUAUGACCUAAUGAGUGCAAUUUCAAAACGCAGCCGCUGCCUACAAGCAGUUAUUUCUUCUCUCCAGGUAAACCGGAGGCAUGCAACAGAAACCCCUCAUACUCUAUCAGUUGUACUGUACAUAGGAAGCGCUUGUGAGAUAUCUACAAAGUGCCAGAGAAAGGUCUAUUUUUCUGUGCAUUCAAUGUAUGUUUGUAAUAUUACAGAUUUUCAUUUGCAGGUCCUGUCAUCUUUAUUGUGGCUGUGUUGAUGGUAAAGGUCACUGAGGAAAACAUCAUGUCCACUGAAAAAUGUACAUCACUGGCAUGAUGAUGAUACUACAAUGGUUAAACAUUGUGGGUUGAUUUUUAUUUUUCCAUUUUGCAGUUUGGAAAACAAUAAAUAAUGCUACUGAAACUUUGAA